AGCGAACGCUGGCGGCAGGCCUAACACAUGCAAGUCGAACGGACUCUUCGGAGUUAGUGGCGGACGGGUGAGUAACACGUGGGAACGUGCCUUUAGGUUCGGAAUAGCUCCUGGAAACGGGUGGUAAUGCCGAAUGUGCCCUUCGGGGGAAAGAUUUAUCGCCUUUAGAGCGGCCCGCGUCUGAUUAGCUUGUUGGUGGGGUAAUGGCCCACCAAGGCUACGAUCAGUAGCUGGUCUGAGAGGAUGACCAGCCACAUUGGGACUGAGACACGGCCCAAACUCCUACGGGAGGCAGCAGUGGGAAUCUUGCGCAAUGGGCGAAAGCCUGACGCAGCCAUGCCGCGUGUAUGAUGAAGGUCUUAGGAUUGUAAAAUACUUUCACCGGUGAAGAUAAUGACUGUAGCCGGAGAAGAAGCCCCGGCUAACUUCGUGCCAGCAGCCGCGGUAAUACGAAGGGGGCUAGCGUUGCUCGGAAUUACUGGGCGUAAAGGGAGCGUAGGCGGACAUUUAAGUCAGAGGUGAAAUCCCGGAGCUUAACUUCGGAACUGCCUUUGAUACUGGGUGUCUUGAGUGUGAGAGAGGUAUGUGGAACUCCGAGUGUAGAGGUGAAAUUCGUAGAUAUUCGGAAGAACACCAGUGGCGAAGGCGACAUACUGGCUCAUUACUGACGCUGAGGCUCGAAAGCGUGGGGAGCAAACAGGAUUAGAUACCCUGGUAGUCCACGCCGUAAACGAUGAUUGCUAGUUGUCGGGAAGCUUGCUUUUCGGUGACGCAGCUAACGCAUUAAGCAAUCCGCCUGGGGAGUACGGUCGCAAGAUUA
rnacentral:rRNA from 1 species